rnacentral:misc_RNA from 1 species
UCCGGUUUGACACCGGCAGUCUCGCUAGAGUACUGGCUUGCGCCGAGCAACUAACGAUAGGGGUUGCGCUCGUUAAAGGACUUAACCUGACACUUCACAGCACGAGCUGACGACAGCCAUGCAGCACCUGUGUACGUUCCGGUCUUGCGACUGUGGCUCUGCUUUCACAGAGUUAAUCCGCACAUGUCAAACCCAGGUGAGGUUCUUCGCGUUGCCUCGAAUUAAGCAACAUGCUCCACCGCUUGUGUGAGCCCCCGUCAAUUCAUUUGAGUUUCGGUCUUGCGGCCGUACUCCCCAGGCGGAUAACUUAAUGCGUUAGCUGCGCCACCGAAAGCCUAAGGCCCCCGACAGCUAGUUAUCAUCGUUUAGGGCGUGGACUAC